rnacentral:rRNA from 1 species
CUGGGGGCUCUUACACUGCAGUCGAACGGAAAGGCCGUUGGGGUCUUAAUCGAGGGGUUGGAGAGCACGCGUGACCUAUCCGCAUCUCUGUGAGACCGUUUGUGCGACAGUGUGCCCCGCCGCUAGAAGCCUUUGCUUUGGUCUGUGGAGAGUUUUUUGUUUGGGGGAGUAAGCCCUCGCUCGCCUAUCAGCUUGUUGGGGGGGUGGUGGACCACCAAGGUGACGACGAGCAGCCGUCCUAGGAGGGUGUACGACAUUGUUGGUGAGAAAAGAAGGAGAAUCCUCCUACAGGAGGCAGCGGUGGAUUUUGUUCAAUAAUGGACGGAAGCAUGCUGCAACACCGCGGAUGAAGGAGGAAGUCCGUCGUGUUAACCACUCUUUUCCGCCGGGAAGAGGUGAAUUCGCACCCUCGCGGGAGAGGGUCACUAACACGGGCUAACAACUCCGGGCAUCGCAGGUAGCGUAGUGUGCGCGAUUACUCGUGUUUAUAGAGCUAAACGCUCUAUGCGUUGAUUGGACGCCGGACUACUCGCUGACCGAGAUACGGGUUAUCAGUGACUGAUGAAUAGGAACUCGUAUCGUCGAUACGGGAAUCUAAGCCAUACCUAUGAUCAGCGACGUUCUCGAACCGUAAGCAUGCUUAUGCGAGUUUAACGUUCAGCUUAACAAUAUCGUAGGGUGGCCUACUAACGGCGCCGAAGUAAUGCCGGACAUAAAAAA